UGCGCCUCCACGAAACUUUCAAACAUUUUGAGCGCGCUUUCGCGCUCAAUAUGCAUUGCUAGUUAUUCUCGUGUGGAAGAUAUUUGUUUACGCGACGGAAUAUUACAUUUGUAAAGGAUGGAGAAAAGUUCUUCGUGACAGUCGCCACGACACGGAAGAUCGUCGGCCCUGGGUUUGCAACCGGUGACACCCUCGAUGAUCACCUCCAUGAUAUACCAGAAAUGUAAUUUCUCUAAAGGCCAAUUCAACCAUCCUGUGGUGAUGCAGAAAUAAGUCUCAUGAGGCGCGACAUGAUGCACUCGAUGAUGCUUUCUUGGCAAGAUAAUCCUAUGUUCUUGAAGCCAAAUCACCCAGGCUGGCAGACCGAAAGAAGCAGUGUACAUACCAGUACUAUAAAGAUUCGCAAGUUCUUGAGCACCUUUAUGAUUCGGACCCCACCUAGGCACAGUCCUGUCUUCUUGAGAGGUCGAUACUACCGAGUUGGCAUUGGGAUCGUCCUCGAGCAUCGAGUUUUCGUAGAUUUGGCGCUCGGUCUUCACCGGUGCCAAGAAAUUGGACGCCAUGGAGCACGCGGCUGAAGCAGCCUGACCCAAGACUCAAUUGCUCUUCGCAUAGAUGCUUGUCUGGCAACAUCGAGAUGGGAACGCGUGUCGCAAUUUUCGAUUGCUCGUAACUAAGACUACGGCAAGUUGCACGCAAAAUUAUGCCGAAAUAAUUAUCACAUUACUUCAUUCCUUCGGCUU